UCCAAUUAAAAUAUUUUGCUGCCAUAAAAACUAAACAAAGGGUUAUAGCUUUUAUUUUAUAUUUUUAUGAUUGCUAGGUUUGUUUCAAAAAUCAGUGAAGUCCAUGAAGUACACUGUGUUCUCUUUCUGGCGUCUCAAAAGCAGCUACUCCUGAAUUAAUUAAAAAGAGCAAUAUAUGAGGCAAUAAAAACUUCUUCAUGAGUCCAGGCACAAUGGCUCACACCUGUAAUCCCAGCACUUUGAGAGGCGGAGGCAGGAGGAUCGCUUGAGGCCGGGAGUUUGAGACCAGCCUGGUCAACAUAGCAAGACACCAUCUCUACAAAGCGAUUUUUUUUUUUUAAUUAGCCAGGCAUGGUGAUGCUCACCUGUAGACCCAGCUACUAGGGAGGCUGAGGCAGAAGAUCACUUGAACUCAGGAAUUCAAGACCGCAGUGAGCUAUGAUGGUGCCACUGUGCUCCAGCCUGGGUAACAGAGUAAGCGAGAACCUGUCUCAAAAAAAGAAAAAAAAGUGGGGCCUGGCACCAUGGCUUACUCCUAGCACCUUGGGAGGCCAAGGCAAAUGGAUCAGUUAAGCCUAGGAGUUGGAGACCAGCCUGGGCAACAUGGUGAAACCCCAUCUCUAAAAACAACAACAAAAAUAGAAAAAUUAGCCAGGCAUGGUGGCUCAUGCCUAUAGUUACAGCGACACGGGAGGCUGAAGUGGAAGGAUCACCUGAGCCCUGGAGGUCAAGGCUGCAGUUAACCAUGAUUGUACUACUGAACUCUAGCCUGAGUGACAGAGUGAGACCCUGUCUGGAAAAAAAAAAAAAAAAAAUUGUCAUGAACAAAAUAUUUAGUAGACAUUUUUCUUAUCUAUCUCCAUAUGGUUUGUAAAGUUUACUGGUGAGCUAAAUAAAUAAAUAAAUAAAGUUUUUAUUAUCUCCA